GGAGGGGUGGCAGAGCGGUCGAAUGCGGCGGUCUUGAAAACCGCUGGAGUCGCAAGGCUCCCAAGGGUUCGAAUCCCUUCCCCUCCG
rnacentral:tRNA from 1 species